GUCUCAGGCCGGAUCAGCCUGAAGGCGCCCGAUCUCGUCUGAUCUCGGAAGCUAAGCAGGGUCGGGCCUGGUUAGUAUCUUGGAUGGGAGACCACCUGGGAAUCCCGGGUGCUCGAGGCU
ensembl:rRNA 5S_rRNA 5S ribosomal RNA